rnacentral:misc_RNA from 1 species
CAAACCACGCACAGUGAUACGGAGUACGGACUUAUAAUUUAUGAUAUGGCCUUAUAUUAGAUUUAUAUUUUAUCCUCAGAAUGAAUUUAUUUAUUUUAUAUUAAUAUUUAUUUAGUCAGUUAAUCUGUGAUAUAUCCUCGGACCACGGUUUAAGAAUAUAAUAUAUAGAUGUCUGAUGUAUAGCAAUUCGUACAACCGUACCCACAAAAGUUACAGCCUUAUGAAGUGUAUUCAUUAUUAAAAUAAUUUUUAACUAAUAAUUAACAAAAUAAAUUUAAAUAAUGAAAACGCGUAAGUGUUGUGUAAAAGGAUGCACUAGUGUAAAAAGAAACCCUAAGGUUUCUUUUUUUAGUGCACCUAAAGCUAAUUAUUUAGCUUGGAACUUAGCAGUGAGUAAUGCUAACCGUGAAAAAACAGUUGUAAAACGUGUAUGUGCUGAACAUUUUCGACCUGAAGAUAUAAUAAAUACAUAUUCAGUUCCUGACGAUGUUGCCAAUGAAGUUGGAAAUAGAAUCAAAAUUGGUUUAAAAAAGGGGAGUGUUCCUUCCAUUUUUUCUUCUGUUGAUAAAAAAAGUAAUGAAUUUGUACCUUCUGUCAAUAAUUUGAAUACUGAUCACAAUUAUGCCAAUUGUUCAGUUAGUCAUCAAGUCAAUAAAUCUAAAACAAGAAAGUUAUUCAUAGAAAAUAUUAGAGAAAAUAUGUCUGAAAAUAUUGUUGAGAUAUUGACAUUUAAUGACCUAACAGUACAUUUUAAAAGAGUCAUAUUACCAGAGGGAUGGACAUCACAUUUUAGUAACGAUGAAAUUGUUUUUUAUAAACCAAAAUUCAAUGAUGAUAAAAUGAAAAUAGAAAAACAAAUAGUUUUUAAAAGUACGUUGGAAAUAUGUGUAUAUAUUUACCAAUUUACUAUUCAAACUGAAAAAAUAAGCAGCACAUUAAAAUAUCCAAUUAGCUUAACAAGUCUGUCUCAAUUGAUUAAAGUUCUUGAUUUAAAAAAAAUUUGUGGAGGUGGUCCAAGAUCAAUAGAUUUUCCAGGAGUUCGAGUAAAAACUGCAACCUUGGAAAAUAAUCAAUUGUGGCGUCACCAAAAAUGUCCAAUUUUAAUAGACAUAAAAACAAAAAAAUGUUCAGCCUGCAACUUCUUGAUAAAAUAUUUUGGAAAAUCGUCAAAGCAAGUAAAACAAUCAACACACAUUGGAUGUACUCUUACGCCAACAAAAUGUAGUAUAGUAAAAAAUUUGAAAAGAUCCAAUACAAGGCUAAAGACAACUAUUACAAAGAUCAAUUUUGAAUUGAAAGAGCUACAAGAAAAACAAAGAAAAUAUCAAAUGACUGAACAAAACAAAUCUCAGAUUCAGAAAAUUUAAGUUAUCCUCAAAAACUGUUGGUCAAAGAAACUGUUUCAGUUUGUAUUGUACAGCUCAAUUAGUCUUAAAAUCUUCUUGAAAAUGCUGGUGCUUAGGUGGAUGGAUUAGUGUCAGAUGGUGCAACUUGUAAUAGCCAAUUAUGGUGAAAACUGGGUAUUUUAGAAGAUAAUCAUAAUAUAUGGCUUGACAAUUGGGAAGACCAACUAAAUAAA